UUGGGGUGAGGUAGUAGGUUGUUUAGUUUUGGGGUUGAACCCUAAGUUUCAGAUAACUAUACAAUCUACUGUCUUUCCUGA